AUUGAACGCUGGCGGCAUGCUUUACACAUGCAAGUCGAACGGUAACAGGCCUUCGGGUGCUGACGAGUGGCGAACGGGUGAGUAAUGCAUCGGAACGUGCCCAGAGGUGGGGGAUAACGCAGCGAAAGCUGUGCUAAUACCGCAUGUGAUCUGAGGAUGAAAGCGGGGGACCAAGCAGCAAUGUUUGGCCUCGCGCCUCUGGAGCGGCCGAUGUCAGAUUAGGUAGUUGGUGGGGUAAAGGCCUACCAAGCCGACGAUCUGUAGCUGGUCUGAGAGGACGACCAGCCACACUGGGACUGAGACACGGCCCAGACUCCUACGGGAGGCAGCAGUGGGGAAUUUUGGACAAUGGGCGCAAGCCUGAUCCAGCAAUGCCGCGUGUGGGAAGAAGGCCUUCGGGUUGUAAACCGCUUUUGUACGGAACGAAAAGGCUCUGGCUAAUACCUGGGGCUGAUGACGGUACCGUAAGAAUAAGCACCGGCUAACUACGUG
rnacentral:rRNA from 1 species